UCAUGGGAACAUUAAAAUCGUACAGUUGUGAGUCUGGAUAUCGUGAAACAGCAGCAGAGGCCACAUGCACACGAGACGGAUGGACACCAA